rnacentral:pre_miRNA from 1 species
AUUCUACUCCCUCCAUUGCACAAUACAUGCCUUCUAUUUGUCAAAAUAUAUAUGUAUCUAGACAUGUCUUAGUAUAUAGCUACAUCCAUUUUUGGACAAAUGGAAGUCAAGUAUUUUGGAACGGAGGGAGUACACA